GACGAACGCUGGCGGCGUGCUUAACACAUGCAAGUCGAACGGAAAGGCUCCAGCUUGCUGGAGUACUCGAGUGGCGAACGGGUGAGUAACACGUGGGUAAUCUGCCCUGCACUCUGGGAUAAGCCUGGGAAACUGGGUCUAAUACUGGAUAUGACCUUUCUCCUUAUGGGGUUUGGUGGAAAGUUUUUCGGUGUAGGAUGAGCCCGCGGCCUAUCAGCUUGUUGGUGGGGUGAUGGCCUACCAAGGCGACGACGGGUAGCCGGCCUGAGAGGGUGAUCGGCCUCAUUGGGACUGAGAUACGGCCCAGACUCCUACGGGAGGCAGCAGUGGGGAAUAUUGCACAAUGGGCGGAAGCCUGAUGCAGCGACGCCGCGUGAGGGAUGACGGCCUUCGGGUUGUAAACCUCUUUCAGCAGGGACGAAGCGUAAGUGACGGUACCUGCAGAAGAAGCACCGGCUAACUAUGUG
rnacentral:rRNA from 1 species